UAACAAAUGCCCUGCUUCCAGGAAAAGCCUCUAAGCAUCAGGUAACAUCAAAUCGUACCCCAAACCGACACAGGUGGUCAGGUAGAGAAUACCAAGGCGCUUGAGAGAACUCGGGUGAAGGAACUAGGCAAAAUGGUGCCGUAACUUCGGGAGAAGGCACGCUGGUGUGUAGGUGAAGCCCCUGCGGGUGGAGCUGAGACCAGUCGAAGAUACCAGCUGGCUGCAACUGUUUAUUAAAAACACAGCACUGUGCAAACACGAAAGUGGACGUAUACGGUGUGACGCCUGCCCGGUGCCGGAAGGUUAAUUGAUGGGGUUAUCCGUAAGGAGAAGCUCUUGAUCGAAGCCCCGGUAAACGGCGGCCGUAACUAUAACGGUCCUAAGGUAGCGAAAUUCCUUGUCGGGUAAGUUCCGACCUGCACGAAUGGCGUAAUGAUGGCCAGGCUGUCUCCACCCGAGACUCAGUGAAAUUGAACUCGCUGUGAAGAUGCAGUGUACCCGCGGCAAGACGGAAAGACCCCGUGAACCUUUACUAUAGCUUGACACUGAACAUUGAGCCUUGAUGUGUAGGAUAGGUGGGAGGCUUUGAAGCGUGGACGCCAGUCUGCGUGGAGCCAACCUUGAAAUACCACCCUUUAAUGUUUGAUGUUCUAACGUUGGCCCCUGACCGGGGUUGCGGACAGUGUCUGGUGGGUAGUUUGACUGGGGCGGUCUCCUCCCAAAGCGUAACGGAGGAGCACGAAGGUUAGCUAAUCCUGGUCGGACAUCAGGAGGUUAGUGCAAUGGCAUAAGCUAGCUUGACUGCGAGCGUGACGGCGCGAGCAGGUGCGAAAGCAGGUCAUAGUGAUCCGGUGGUUCUGAAUGGAAGGGCCAUCGCUCAACGGAUAAAAGGUACUCCGGGGAUAACAGGCUGAUACCGCCCAAGAGUUCAUAUCGACGGCGGUGUUUGGCACCUCGAUGUCGGCUCAUCACAUCCUGGGGCUGAAGUAGGUCCCAAGGGUAUGGCUGUUCGCCAUUUAAAGUGGUACGCGAGCUGGGUUUAGAACGUCGUGAGACAGUUCGGUCCCUAUCUGCCGUGGGCGCUGGAGAAUUGAGGGGGGCUGCUCCUAGUACGAGAGGACCGGAGUGGACGCAUCACUGGUGUUCGGGUUGUCAUGCCAAUGGCACUGCCCGGUAGCUAAAUGCGGAAGAGAUAAGUGCUGAAAGCAUCUAAGCACGAAACUUGCCCCGAGAUGAGUUCUCCCUGAGACUUUAAGUCUCCUGAAGGAACGUUAAAGACGAUGACGUUGAUAGGCCGGGUGUGUAAGCGCAGCGAUGCGUUGAGCUAACCGGUACUAAUGAACCGUGAGGCUUAACCUUACAACGCCGAAG
rnacentral:rRNA from 1 species